UCCACCUCCUCCCAUUUCUGUAGAUGGAGAAAGUGAGGCCCACAAAAGGUCACUCAGCAAGUUACUUGAAAAACUCGGACUAGAACCCGGGUCUCCUGGAUUCUUAAGCCUUAUUAACUUUUAGCACUUUUGCAACAAUGAAUUCAUCAGAUCUUUUCUGGGAUCCUCCCUGAAAAAUGCAGGACACACCAUAGACCCAGAGGAUGAUCCCUGUUGGGAGAUUUAUGCUGAUUUGAAAGAACAAGAAAAAAUACAUGCAUGCGUCAAACCUGUUAUGACCAACUCAAGGAAGUGGUCCACAGAGCCAUUGUGCUGACCCUGUUGCGUGCCUGUGAAACCCGGACACUCCGCCAGCGCCAUACCAGGAAACUAAACAGCUUCUAUUGAAUUGUCUUAGGAAGAUUCUGAAGAUCAUCUGGCGGGACAGGGUACCAGGCACUGAGGUCCUUUCUCGCGU